CUGCUGCUGUUGCUACUGUUAUUGGAAGCCUGUUCUGUAUCGCUACUGGGAUCACUGCCGUUCAUCAGGUCCUUCUUAUCCACAUCCUCGACCAUGGGCUCCUUUGGACCCUACAAGCACUUUUAACUAAAUUGGUUUAAGGCGAUUUCAAGGACACCUUGGAUUAUUUGUAUCUAAUACCUAAUCAAACUGUCAUAAAAAUAGACAAAAUGUCUGUUGGAAAAUAAAUUAACAAUAAAACUUUAGAAUUUCCGAAAGCCCAACCUCAUUGAAAUUGAAGGGUCAAGAUCUAACGUUGAAUCAAACACAAAUAUUUAAGCCAUGGAAGUCUAAAAGCCAUAAAAGCUGGUUCAGCCAAAUUAGAUUAAGUGUAGACUCGACCGUCCGAAGAUAUGGAAUUUUGAUUACACCGUAGCGCCUACUAUUUCAUUUUAAAAAAUUUAAUAGCUAAAAUUUGUUACUAACUUAUAAAAGUAAAUGUUAAGUACUACUUUUACACGUCGGACUUGGAGUUAGUAAUUACCUAGUUCUGUUAAUUCAAAUUCCCUUAUGUUACUCUAUGCUUAUCGCAAUAGAUUCCAUAAUAUAUGCCCAACC